UAAGAUACAGUGGAACCAAAGUUUGU
rnacentral:piRNA from 2 species